CCUACGGGAGGCAGCAGUGGGGAAGAUUGGGCAAUGGGCGCAAGCCUGACCCAACAACGCCGCGGGAAGGAAGAAGGCGUUCGGGUGGUAAACGUCGAGUAAGAGGGAAGAGCAGAAGACGGUACCGCUGGAAUAAGCCAUGGCUAACGACGUGCCAGCAGCCGCGGUAAUACGUAGGUGGAAAGCGUUGUCCGGAUUUACUGGGUGGAAAGGGCGUGCAGCCGGGAAGACAAGUCAGAUGUGAAAUCCCGCGGCGCAACCGCGGAACGGCUUUUGAAACUGUGUUUCUUGAGUACCGGAGAGGUCAUCGGAAUUCCUUUUGUAGCGGUGAAAUGCGUCGAUAUAACGAAGACCACCAGUGGCGAAGGCGGCUGACUGGACGGCACCUGCCGGUGAGGCGCGAAAGCGUGGGGAGCCAACAGGAUUAGCUCCCCCUGUAGUC
rnacentral:rRNA from 1 species